CAAAACAGCAUCUUCCUCUCCAGCAAAAGAAACGACUCUCUCUCUCUCUCUCUUUCUCCCUCUCUCAUUUCCCUAUCCAUCUGCCUCUGCCUCUCCUUCUCCCUCACCUUCUAUCUAGUUGUCGCUUUGCUAUUUCAGUAAAAGAUUUAGGGUUCUGUUAUUUCAAAUAUAUUUAUAUGCAGAUUAAGGCUUUUUCUUUGUCAGAUUUGAGUUCUGACAUGUAUGAGAGCGAAGUGCUUGACCGCAAGAAGAAGAGGUCGUUGAAGAACGUUACUGGGGAUCAAAUCGCUGAGUAAGGAGCAACAGAAGAUUGUAAUUUCUUAUGUUAGGGUUUUUAUGUUUUAUGUUUUAUGUUUUAUAAAUUUGUAAUUGUUAUUAAUUGUAUGGUGUGCUCCCUUUGAUUAAAUAGGCAACUCGAAGAUCGUUUCAGGCUAUUCAAAUUAUUCGAACCCCUUUGGUGAUUCCAAUCUCAGUGAAAUGUAGUUUUUAUCUUUGUUUUUUGGGAUUUAUGUGAGGAAGUUUGCUGAUAGAGGUUUUAGCUUUCCAAUUUCAAAUGUCGAAUUCAAGCUUCCGAGGUUUCAGUUAGAGAUUUACAUGCUCCCUUCUUCUCCCUCUUCCUAUCUCUGGUUUUUUAUUUGCUAUUUCAUUAAGAGAUUUGGGGUUUUUCUAUUUCAAAUCUCCAGAUGCAAAUUAAGUUUUUAUUUGUUAUAUUAGACUGGGGCAUCUGGGUUUUGAUAUUUAAUUACAAUUUCCUUUUCAUAUUUCUUGUGUGGGAUGUACAGACUUUAAACUUUUGCAGGCAUGCUUAUGGCAUCACCGUUUGGUUCAUCUUUCAUCUUCCAAAUUGCAAUUUUUAUCUAAGACUUCACUAG
rnacentral:lncRNA from 1 species